AUUGAGUUGCGUGCCGUAAACCCGAAGCCGAGUGAUCUACCCAUGGGCAGGUUGAAGCGAGGGUAAGACCUCGUGGAGGACCGAACCCACUUCGGUUGAAAACGGAGGGGAUGACCUGUGGGUAGGGGUGAAAGGCCAAUCAAACUCGGAGAUAGCUGGUUCUCCCCGAAAUAGCUUUUGGGCUAGCCUCGGGUGUUCAGCCGCGGUGGUAGAGCACUGAUUGGACUAGGGGCCUUCACCGGUUACCAAACCCAGUCAAACUCCGAAUGCCGCGGCUCCAGAGCCCGGGAGUCAGACCGUGGGGGAUAAGCUCCAUGGUCGAGAGGGAAACAGCCCAGACCGCCAGCUAAGGCCCCCAAAUCCGGGCUAAGUGGGAAAGGAUGUGAAACCGCACAGACAGCCAGGAUGUUGGCUUAGAAGCAGCCAUCAUUUAAAGAGUGCGUAAUAGCUCACUGGUCAAGUGGUUUCGCGCCGAUAAUGUAGCGGGGCUCAAGCCCGGUGCCGAAGCUGCGGCACUGCGCCCUCCGGGGCGCGGUGGGUAGGGGAGCAUUCCCUGGGGAGCGAAGUCGACCCGUAAGGGCUUCCCGCAAGGGAUUAAUCGAUGGACCGCAGGGAAGAGAGAAUGCCGGCAUGAGUAGCGAGAGACGGGUGAGAAACCCGUCCGCCGAAAGCCCAAGGGUUCCUGGGGAAGGUUAAUCCGCCCAGGGUUAGUCGGGACCUAAGGCGAGGCCGAGAGGCGUAGUCGAUGGACAACCGGUUUAUAUUCCGGUACCACCGGCCGGCGCUUGAGCGAUGGGGGGACGCGGAAGGAUAGGCGAACCGCGGCGAUGGUUGACCGCGGGCAAGCGUGUAGGGCGCCGCCGAGUCAAAUGCUUGGCGGCAUCAAGCCUGAGGCGUGAUGCCGACCCGCCUUUAGGGGAAGUCGCUGAAUCCAUGCCGCCGAGAAAAGCCCCUAGCGAGCCGUCCGGUGCCCGUACCCCAAACCGACACAGGUGGGCGAGUAGAGAAUACUAAGGCGAUCGAGUGAACCCUCGUUAAGGAACUCGGCAAAUUGGCCCCGUAACUUCGGGAGAAGGGGCGCCCCGUUAGCGUGACGGGACUCGCUCCCUGAGCGCGAGGGGGCCGCAGCGAACAGGCCCAAGCGACUGUUUACUAAAAACACAGGUCUCUGCUAAGUCGUAAGACGACGUAUAGGGGCUGACGCCUGCCCGGUGCCGGAAGGUUAAGGGGAAGGGUUAGCGGUCGGCUUCGGCCGGCGCGCGAAGCUCCGAACCUAAGCCCCGGUAAACGGCGGCCGUAAGGGAGUUGCGGCCCCAUCCGGGUAACCGGAUGGGAAAAACCCGGCUGUAUGCUGGGAACCCCGAGUAUCUCCGGGUACUCGCCUCCAGGACGAGGCAGUGACAAUCCCAGGAGUGCGGGCAACCAGCAGGAAAGGCCCGGAAGGCGAGGGUCUCGGAAAGGAAGGUGCCCAUUGGUGUACGAUCCAAGGAAGGUGCCACCCGAGGUGGGAUGGUACCUGGCGGGAUUCGCGGACGGAGAAGGGAGCUUCAACGUGAGCUUCCGUCCGCGCAAGGAUUACCGCCAACCGUGGAAAGUAUCCUUGUGCUUCAACAUAUCCCAGAAGGACAAGGUGAUCCUCAGCCAGUUCAAGAGAUACCUCCAGUGCGGCACCAUGAGACGGAGAAGCGAUGGGGUGUGGUACUACGAGGUCAAUAACCUCAACGCCAUACUCGAGCACGUGAUUCCUUUCUUCGAGACCUACCGUUUUCGGUCGGCGAAAAAGAAGCGGGAUUUCAGCAAGUUCAAAAAGAUAGCCCGCCUAGUCGCUGAGGGUCGUCAUCUCUCCGAGGAUGGCAUCCGGGAGAUAUUGAAGAUCCGCAGGGAGAUGGACGACGGCGGAAAACGCAAGUACCGGGAGGAGGAGAUCCUCGCCAGGUUCGAUUCCGGGAAUCCUCAGAGGCCAUACGCCGGGCCCCUGGAAUGAGUCCAGGGUGAAGAUAUGGUCCACCCCUCGUGGCGACACGGGGAAAGGUGAACUAUAACGGUCCUAAGGUAGCGAAAUUCCUUGUCGGGUAAGUUCCGACCUGCACGAAUGGCGUAACGACUUGGGCACUGUCUCAACGAGGGACUCGGCGAAAUUGCACUGCCCGUGAAGAUGCGGGCUACCUG
rnacentral:rRNA from 1 species